UGAACGCUAGCGGCAGGCUUAACACAUGCAAGUCGAGGGGCAGCAUGAGGGUUAGCAAUAACUCUUGAUGGCGACCGGCGCAAGGGUGCGUAACGCGUGAGCAACUUGCCCGUUUCUGGGGGAAUAACCGGUGGAAACGCCGACUAAUACCCCAUAGCAUCAGAAUGAGGCAUCUCAAUCUGAUUAAAGAAAUUCGGAAACGGAUAGGCUCGCGUGACAUUAGCUAGAUGGCGGGGUAACGGCCCACCAUGGCGACGAUGUCUAGGGGUUCUGAGAGGAAGGUCCCCCACACUGGAACUGAGACACGGUCCAGACUCCUACGGGAGGCAGCAGUGAGGAAUAUUGGUCAAUGGGCGAGAGCCUGAACCAGCCAAGUAGCGUGAAGGAUGACUGCCCUACGGGUUGUAAACUCCUUUUGUUCCGGAGUAAUAAGGUCUUUGCGAAGACCGAUGAGAGUACGGGACGAAUAAGCAUCGGCUAACUCCGUG
rnacentral:rRNA from 1 species